rnacentral:tRNA from 2 species
AAAAAGAUAAGCUAAUACAUAAGCUAAUGGGUUCAUACCCCAUGCAUAGAGGAUACCUCUUCUUUUUA